rnacentral:rRNA from 1 species
AAAAACAUGUCUUUUUGAUUAUAAUUUAAGGUCUAAUCUGCUCAAUGAGGAUUUAAAUUGCCGCGGUAUUUUGACCGUGCAAAGGUAGCAUAAUAAUUAGUUUUUUUAUUGAAAGCUGGAAUGAAUGAUUGGACGAGGGAGCAGCUGUCUCUGGAAAAUUUUAUUUUUAAUUUAACUUUUGAGUAAAAAGGCUCAAAUUUAUUUCAAAGACGAGAAGACCCUAUAGAGUUUAAUAUUUUUAUUUAAUAAGAUGUUCUUGGGCUUAAAAUUUUCUUAUUAGAUUAAUUAUUUAGUUGGGGUGACUUAAAGAUUAAAUUAACUCUUUAAAGUUUUAAUCAUUGAUAUGUGAAUUGUAAAUCUAGUUUUUCUAAAUAUAAGAUAAAUUACCUUAGGGAUAACAGCGUAAUUUUUUUUUAGAGUUCUUAUUGUAAAAAAAGUUUGCGACCUCGAUGUUGGAUUAAAAUUAAUUUUUGGUGCAGAAGCUAAAAAUAUAGGUCUGUUCGACCUUUAAAUUUUUACAUGAUCUGA